rnacentral:tRNA from 1 species
GCCGAAGUGGCGGAAUUGGUAGACGCGCACGACUCAAAAUCGUGUGAUCUUACGGUCAUGAGGGUUCGAUUCCCUCCUUCGGCACCA